UAUGCAAGGCAGUCUUGUGCUAAAGAAUUGCUAAAAGAGACAGUGCCUUUUGAAUGCACCAUAUGUGUUAUUCAAAAGCAGUGGCAAGUCGAAGCUCCUAUCUUAAUCCUCGCUUGUUAUUAUGGAAGCCUGGAUCCAACUUUUGAAGGAUAAGAGAUUUCACAGAUCAUUGAUUACAAAGGCAAUAGCCAACACCAACACCCCAGACAUGAGAGGGAUGCUACCUUCGAUGCAGCCUCCCUGCCCGGCCCCAGUCAAGCCACCGAUGACUGCUACUACCUGAGCAAGCCCAGGAGUGGGACUGGUGGCUCUGUAAGAAGAGGAGGAGGCACCUGAGCUGGCACACUCAGCUCCUUCACCAUGUGAUGCCCUGCACCACCUCAAGACUGCAGAGUCCUUACCAACAAGACGGCACUCACCAAAUGCAGCCCUUAGACCCUGGACUUCUCAGUCUUUUUAACGCUGAAGACUUCGCCUUAUAUGUCAAUAGAGAAAGUAAGAAUGG
rnacentral:lncRNA from 10 species